GCUAUGCCCGAUCUCGUCUGAUCUCGGAAGCUAAGCAGGUUUGGGCCUGGUUAGUACUUUGAUGGGAGACCGCCUGGGAAUACCAGGUGCUGUAAGCUU
rnacentral:rRNA from 1 species